GGAUAUGUUCCGGUGACUGAAAC
rnacentral:siRNA from 1 species